CACCGACAAAUUGCUAGCUACCGUAGCCGUUGGAUUCGUGAAAACAAUCUUCAUCUUAGUGGCAACUUUUUUUGCUGGACAGAAUCGGACGGCGGCCGGUGCUUCUAAGUAGCGUAGCAGGGGUGGGAUUUUCAUUAGCAACCCUUGGAUUUUCGUUGACCAUCAUAGAUCAUUCGCACGAGAAGCUAACAUGGGCGAUUGCACUGUGC
rnacentral:misc_RNA from 1 species